rnacentral:rRNA from 1 species
AUGUCUACCCCGGCCCCCAAAACUACAUCGACUCCGGCGCCUGCUACGCCGACGACACCACAACCGGCGACGCCGCAUACUCCAGCCCCGGUGGUCACCACUCCGUGCUCGUCUUCAUCAGCACCAGCUCACGCAGAGCACAAACCGAUGAAGUUCGCUUCCCUGCUCACUCACGAUGAGGAGCAUAUCAACAUGUGGCAUGACGGCGAACCGCUGCGGUACCGUACGAUGGAUAAUCUGCCCGGCGACCAGCCGGUGCCGGGACUGGUGCCACGUGACCUGGAGGCGCAGCUACAGCUCGUGUGUGAAGACGGUGAACCACGGUCCUUUGCAGAGGCCAAGAGAGACGCGGCAUGGCGCGCCGCGAUGCAGUUGGAGAUGGAUGCGGUCGAGCAAAACCGCACCUGGGAGCUCGCUGAUCUCCCUCAUGGUCAUCGCGCAAUCACCCUUAAGUGGGUGUUCAAGCUGAAGAGGGAUGGAGCCGGCGCCAUCAUCAAGCACAAGGCUCGCUUGGUGGCCCGAGGCUUCUUGCAGCAGGAAGGAGGCAACUUCGACGACACUUUCGCUCCCGUGGCACGGAUGGAGUCCGUGUGA